CUUAACAAAAAAACAUACCAUGUCCAGAAAUAUAAUAUAUCAUGCUAGCAGGCAUAGUCCAGUGAUGAGUGUCCAGAUAGAGGUCGAAAGAGUGACCAGAACUCUGGACCAAGAGGUGGAAGGAGUGACCAGAAAGUAGUUAUAAUCUUGGCAGUUGUUGAUCCUUGAUCAACUGUUCACUGUGCUUGUUGAUAAGGGCUAGGGGAAUGUCCUCGUGCAUAUGCUUAUUGUCUUUCUUUCCUGUUACGACAAGUGGAAGAUAUGCUCUUUAAGGAACUAAAGUGGUUGAAAAUCACUAAGACAAAAAUAUUUGUUUGCAUGAAUAAUCAUGGCUGUUAGUUUUUUUUACCAGAAGAUAAAAGGAAAGUACGAUUAAGGCCUUUGACCUUGGUGUCAUUACUUAAUUUUUGAUAUUGAUAAAAUGAUGCUCAGUCAUUGGCAUUUGUACUACAGUAGACUUGAGUAAAAUGGAAUUCAGUACUUCCGCUAUUAAAACUGCAAAAAGAAGAUCAAAUGAACAUUUGAGAUAGUUAAUUGCAGUUAUUGGAAAUAAUUGAACUUUUAUGUUAGUCAAGGCCAUACCUUGACAUAGAAUGAUUACUCGGUACUGUACACAAAAUGUAGUUUUAAUUGGAAGUCAUGGUCGGACACCAUAAUUAUGUCAUUGGCUUACAAAGUCCUGUUUCCUUAUCUUAGCGCCAUUAUACUUCUGUGGUAAGUCAAUGAACUCACUACAAAUUUAUGGAAAAGUAA